rnacentral:lncRNA from 1 species
AAUAAAGUUACGAUUUGACAGAUACAGAUUAAUUACUGAAUACAGGUCCUACGAAAAUUAUGCAGAAUUUUUUACCUUUCUAAUUCUAACUUUCUCCAAUUCUAUUUCCACAGUCUUUCAUUCAUUCCUCAACCAACUGUAAAUGAAUGAUGGUGUCUAAACCCAAAUUCAAUUUCUUCAUCAUCUAUGAGAAAACUUGCAUGUAUGGUGGUCAUCACUUCCCUCAUGAACUAUUAGUACUUAGUAUUUGGUUUGAGUUGUUGUUGUGCAAAAAGUAAGGUAAGGAACUCACUCUUCAUUUACAAAAGUAUACAUGAGUUUUCUCUUGUUGAAUCCAAACAUUUAAUCUUAACCCCACACAUGAAUAGAUGUUUACCUCUUCAUUUACUUUGAUUGCAUGUGAUGGAUUGAGUAAUUGCAAACUGUGGAUGUUUGGAAAAUCAAGUUGAGGUUAUUAUA